GACGAACGCUGGCGGCGUGCCUAAUACAUGCAAGUCGAACGCAAAACUUUCACCGAAUGCUUGCAUUCACGAAAGUUUUGAGUGGCGAACGGGUGAGUAACACGUGGGUAACCUGCCCAGAAGAGGGGGAUAACACUUGGAAACAGGUGCUAAUACCGCAUAAUAACAAAAACCGCAUGGUUUUUGUUUGAAAGAUGGUUUUGCUAUCACUUCUGGAUGGACCCGCGGCGUAUUAGCUAGUUGGUAAGGUAAAGGCUUACCAAGGCAAUGAUACGUAGCCGAACUGAGAGGUUGAUCGGCCACAUUGGGACUGAGACACGGCCCAAACUCCUACGGGAGGCAGCAGUAGGGAAUCUUCCACAAUGGACGAAAGUCUGAUGGAGCAACGCCGCGUGAGUGAAGAAGGUUUUCGGAUCGUAAAACUCUGUUGUUAGAGAAGAACGUGUGUGAGAGUAACUGCUUAGGCAGUGACGGUAUUUAACCAGAAAGCCACGGCUAACUACGUGCCAGCAGCCGCGGUAA
rnacentral:rRNA from 1 species